rnacentral:rRNA from 1 species
AUCCGGAGGGUGCAAGCGUUAAUCGGAAUUACUGGGCGUAAAGCGCGCGUAGGCGGUUUGUUAAGCGAGAUGUGAAAGCCCUGGGCUCAACCUGGGAACUGCAUUUCGAACUGGCAGGCUAGAGUACAAGAGAGGGUGGUAGAAUUUCCUGUGUAGCGGUGAAAUGCGUAGAUAUAGGAAGGAAUACCAGUGGCGAAGGCGGCCACCUGGCUUGAUACUGACGCUGAGGUGCGAAAGCGUGGGGAGCGAACAGGAUUAGAAACCCGAGUAGUCC